rnacentral:rRNA from 1 species
UACGGGGGGGGGCAAGCGUUUGUUCGGAAUUACUGGGCGUAAAGGGCUCGUAGGCGGCCAACUAAGUCGGAUGUGAAAUCCCCCAGGCUCAACCUGGGAACUGCAUCCGAUACUGGAUGGCUUGAAUUCGGGAGAGGGAUGCAGAAUUCCAGGUGUAGCGGUGAAAUGCGUAGAUAUCAGGAAGAACACCAAUGGCGAAGGCAGCUCGCUAGGACGGUACUGACGCUGGAGGCGACGAAAGCGUGGGGAGCAAACAGG